GUCGUAAAAGGGGACGCGGAGGAGAAGGAAAGUCGCUCAAGCAGUGGACAGAGCGGAGAAAGCGACUUCGGCCGCAGAGAGAAGAAGCUGCCCAAGAAUGGAAAGGAAGAAAUAUAUCACAUCAUCUGUCUGUCCACAGGCUUUCCUUGGGGCUUAUGAAGUGAAUGAAGGAGGGAAGAAAGGAGAGACAGAGAAAAUAUGGAUUUCCUCAUGGUUGUGAUUCCUCUUCACUCUUUUGAAUUUGGAAGGAUGGCAUACACAUCUGAAAAAUACCACUACUUCCUUCAUUGGACUGCAAGGUAUUUCUGUUUGGAAAAGUAAUGGAGUCCAGUCAACUUCAUUGAUCGCCAAGGACUGUCAAAAUUAUAAAACUUGCUGUGGAGCUCUGACAUGCCAGAAGCCGCUAGAAAAAGAAGUUUGACAUUCAGAAACUUAUCAAGAGGUUCUACUCUUUGGAUAGAGACCAAAAUCAUACUUUGAAAAAGCCUGACAGGUUUCUUCGGAAAAGUGGCCAUCCAUGGAAUGAAUGAAAUGUUCUCUUUCUAUUCCAGGGAUUGCAGUGGCAAAGCUAGGCUAGGUCUUGGAGGCUGGUGUAAGGCGAUGUGGGUGAAGGCAGGAGGCUGAUGGAAAGACUGGGGGGAAGAAAAGCCGAAAUGGAUUCACGGUGCCUUGGAUGAAGGACGAGAGGGGAACUGCAAGCUCCUUCAACUGGUUCUGUCCGGUGAGAAGUGAUCAAGCUUGGGCUGACAAGAGGCUCAGGGAGCCCUCACGUUCUUUCGCUUUUUUACCUGCCAAUCAAACUGCUACAAGACAACACCCUGAUCUGGCAUGGACAU
rnacentral:lncRNA from 1 species